ensembl:lncRNA
GAAAGAAUAUAAAGGUAGCAUGGCAGCUGCCCUGAGAGGGGCCGGGCUGCAGAGAGGACUCAGGUGGUGUUUGCCAGGAAUUUCCUAAGCAGCUCAUGGUUGUGUGCGCUCCUGUGCGGGGCUGCUUGGCUUCUAACUUCAAGUACUUCUUAUGAACGCUGAUUCUUUGGCGGUGAGAUGUUGUAACGAUCACUGUAAACGGGCGCUAUUAACAUAUUUCAACCUUCUCGUCUAUUUUGAACUUGUUCUCCCUAUUGGGCUCUUCAUAAAACUACAGUGUUAUUUCCUAUACCAGCUGAAAGAGCCGCUGAGUUCAGAAAUGGAUGUGAAGCGUCCCCAAACCUCCAACACUGUUUCUGAUGAUCUCUGCCAUACCAACAAGUGAAUGGGAAGUAUCAAAGUACUUCUGAAAGAUCUCGGUUCUCCAUUUGAGAUGACUGGAUUACUCUCAUUGGCUGUAAUUCUCAUCAUCGCCAGAAAGCAUCUCAGAUACUUAAAAAGAGAUGCCCAAUCCUGUAGUAGUUGGGAUCAGUCUUGCUGUUAGCUGUCUACAGAGCAAAACGAGCAGGUGAAGGGCUAAAUUGUGGCUGUGGAGCUUUCUGUGUCUGUGCUGCUGCUGGGAGCUCCCAGGCUGAGAUUCCAUGCUGAGUGGGGACUGAGCCACGUGGAGAUGAGUUGGGCUCUCCCCAAGGUGGUAAACAAGGAGCACAUAAAACACAGCUGUGUAUGCAUGUGUUUAAUUUGAUCGUUCUCAGUGUACAUUACCUGAGACAAGGAAGGCUUGGUAACUGUCAGCAGGGGAUGAUGCUUCCAGCCCUGAUACUCAUGUUGUCUCACUUGAACAGUGACAUGUCCUCAUUUAACAAAACUGACUUUUUUUUCCCCUCUUGUUGUAUUUGAUAUUCAAGUUUCGUUACCAAAACUGGUCCUGAGCUGUUUAUGAUUUAAUAUCCAGCCCAUGAGGAGGUUUGGGUUUGGGCCAAAUGAUGAACAUGACAGAAAAACUAAUGCUGCGCUGUGUAAAGGAUCAGUUUGGAUGGGAAAGGGGAGGUGUUCACAGUGGAAGGGCUGCAAAGAAGUUACCCCAGAGCCAUGUGCACAACCUGUUC